AAGAUUAUUAGAUUAGUCUUUGGCACAGUCAGAUGGUUUAUUAUUUAAUUUUAUAUAUAUUUAUGUAGAGUAAAUAAUAAAAUUCAACAGUCUAAUUUAAAAAAAAAGUAAUUGUAGGGACAACACAUUUAACUGAAAAUAUUACAAAAUGGUUAAAAGUUUGUUGGUUUUUAUAGCAGGUGUUUAUACAGGUAUUUACGUUACUCAAAAUUAUGAGAUUCCUAGAGUUGAUGAACCUCAAGCAAUAUAUGAUAAAAUGAAAGAAUUUCUCAAUAAGUACCGGAAAGAAUAAAACUAAUUAGAUAAGAUUUAGGAAAAAUUAUAUUAGGCUUUAUUUUGUAAGCUAUAAAUACAAUAGCACAAUUAA